CAUGUAAUUUAUUAUGUUAAUAAUAUAUCCAAUAUCUUGACUACCAGGCAAAUUCAGUACAGUCUCCACACUCUGGUAAUGCUGUACGAUUCAAAAAUAAUAGUAUAAAGUCAAAAAUCUAGCCCUGGGCUACCUCUGUUUUGAGCAAAGAGUCGGCAGAGUCGGUUAUUUCCUUGCUCAGGCCGAGCCUGGCGAGCCGCUUGAGGCCGUGGACGAGGCCUGGCCUUUUCGAUUCCUGCUGCAUUCCUGCUGCAAGGGUCAGCGCAUUCCUUCCUUAAUCCUGCUUCGGACAAAUGGGUUUCUCGUACCGAUCCAGAAGUAAACAACCACCACGUGGUCUGAGGGUAAACAAGUGACCGGAUGAAACCUCCCGUGCUGUUAUCAGCAAUAAACAUACCGUCUUUUUUGCUUUGCAGUUUGCACUUUGCAGCAAACUCAGUAUUUCUCGACUGACAAGUGAUCAUAGCUGAUCAUUGAUUAUUCCCUAGAACAGAGUUUCAGGAUGGUCGAGUCAUCAGAGGUCGAGGCUAACAUGACACCGAUCGAGUCAAGCUUCCGUUUCCAUGAUUUUCAAAAGGCAGUAUUUGGCAUCGAUAUCGGCUUUAAGGUGAUAAAAAUGGAGGAGUCGUAUUUCAUCUGGGUCGGCAUGGUCUCCAAUAAGGUUUUAACAGAUUUGAGCACAGCAAUUAUGACGAGAUUCCAACCCAUGCCUCUCGCCACGAGCCUCUUCGGGACUGAAACGGACAUCAACUCGACCGCCUUGGCUUCUAAGCUUUCAAAAAAGCUUGGGACACCUGUGCUCCUCAGCUACAACCUCUCUGACCAACGGAUGCUGGUCGAAGUUGAGAAGAUUUUGUGGGAAGAAAUAAAUACCAAUUCAGAUUUCUUUAGAUGAGAAUCAACCAAAACAAAAACAAAAUUGUUAUAUAUUUUUGUAAUUAUUAUUUUAUUAUAAUUUUUUUGCAUUAAAAUACGUUUUUAUUAUAUGAAUAAAAGCACAUCUAAUACAAUAUAAGCAAGCCAUAUAAAUCAGAAAAUUAAUACACAUCAUGUUUCAAACUUUUUUAUUGUUUAUUUCAUUUUUUUUUUCAAACUUUAUAAUACUUUAUUUAUGGACAACUUUCAAUUUUGGGGAUCACAGUGGCUAAGUGGUUAAGGCAUCAACUAAUAGCCCCUAUAUAUAUUUUUUUGUUAAAUAGUGAUAGCAUAAUUGCAUAACCCUUGUAAUAUUAAUUGAGAAUAAUUUGAAUAAAAUAUUGUAAAGUGGUUUGACCCCUUGCCCGUGA